GACGGGCAGAGGCGCGUCGCUCGUCCGGCAGACCGACCGCGAGGCCGACCUGCGCAGACGGGAGGAAAGUCCGGGCAACACAGAGCACCAUACUUGCUAACGGCAAGCUGUCGGAAACGGCAGAGUAGUGUGACAGAAAACAACAGCCGACGAUGUCGGCAAAGGUGAAAAGGUGGGGUAAGAGCCCACCGGGAGACAUGGUGACAUGACUCGCCGCACACCUUAUGGGUUGCAAGGUCAAAUAUACCGGCAUUUAAGGGCUGCUCGUCCAUUGCCGGGGGGUAGACUGCUAAAGCGGCCGUGGCAACACGGCGCUCAGAUAAAUGACGUGCAUGGCCCCGUCCGGUCCCCACGCGGGAUACCGAGGGCUUACAGAACCCGGCUUACAUCCGCCCGCCGUCC
rfam:Prevotella sp. CAG:873 genomic scaffold, scf336